rnacentral:rRNA from 1 species
CAAUAGCGUAUAUUAAAGUUGUUGCGGUUAAAAGCUCGUAGUUGGAUUUCCGCCGAGGACGACCGGUCCGCCCUCUGGGUAAGUAUCUGGUUCGGCCUGGGCAUCUUCUUGGAGAACGUAUCUGCACUUGACUGUGUGGUGCGGUAUCCAGGACUUUUACUUUUGAGGAAAUUAGAAUGUUUCAAGCAGGCACACGCCUUGAAUACGUUAGCAUGGAAUAAUAAGAUAGGACCUUGGUUCUAUUUUGUUGGUUUCUAGAGCCGAGGUAAUGGUUAAUAGGGAUAGUUUGGGAUUCGUAUUUAACUGUCAGAAGUGAAAUUCUUGGAUUUGUUAAAGACGGACUACUGCGAAAGCAUUUGCCAAGGAUGUUUUCAUUGAUCAAGAACGAAAGUUAGGGGAUCGAAGAUGAUUAGAUACC